AUGCUUUUUUCUUUUUCAUGAUCAAAAGGGGAUAUACGAAAUUUUAAAAAUGCUUUGAUUUUCAUUUUAUAUUUAGAAUAACAAAAAAAUAAAAUCAGUAAGACACAGAAACGAAAAAAGAUCCGUUUUUUCAUUUUCUGAGACCGGAAGUGGUCAUCAGCUAGCGUGGAGUCAAACGACAACAAGAUUCUCAGAGGGCGGAGCCAGAGAGCAGUGAUCGGUCAGACCAUAGAAGACAGCGAGCUAGCGUAUCUAGUCUGCUAUAUAUAUCUAUGGUCGGCACGUGUGGUAUCGUCUCUGGCUGCUGUUGACCUUGUUUUUGGAGUAAAACACGGUGGAAGCUGAAUUAGUGAGGAUGACUCCUGCUCCUGUCAUCUCUAAGCUCCUCACACAUCUUUACCUGCACAUGAGGAAAAUCACUCCUGUAGAAUGCAGAUGUUCAGAGGGAGAUGAUGCCACAUCUGGUCCAGCUGAUGGAAGGUCUUGAAGUUCUCUGACUGGCCUCGACUGAAGAUGGUCGUCUCACUGGAUUUAAGGUUCAGAUGCUCAGUAACAAACUCCACCAAUGUGCCAACAGGGAAGCUUUAGGUUUAUUACAUGUUGCUAUGAAGGUAUCGCUGUUUUUCUUUGUGAAUGCAAUGUGCUCCAACUGAAAGUUGAAUUACAACUUAGAAGUAAAUCCUUCCAUCUGAAAGGAUCUAGUUGGGUUAAUAACCCCAUAACAUUCUAAUUUUUAAAUAAUAGAAAUAGAAUCUCUGUAUUGAUUCAGGUAAAAACUGAACUUCACAGCAUGUUGGAGCAAAACAACCAGAUGAAAACUGUGAUGGUGUUGGAUUGUCAGACCGUAAUGUUGCAGCUCAAAGCAGCUUUUCUAGCUCAGUUCAUUCUGACAUUCAGCUAUGAAUCAACACAGCAGAUGGUGAUCCAUGCUGUGGAAGUCUCACAUCUCCUGAUUUAAUGGAGCUGCUUUGCACUUUUUACACUGUUUAUUCACCAACACUUUAUUUAAUAAAAGUCCCAUCUAGUUUUUAUGAGGAAUGUGAUGUUUUAAUUUCUCUGUGAAUAACUGCAGUCUAAUGCAACAGCUGGAGUUGUAACAUCUGUCCUGAUAUUGAUCAUGAAGUAUUGAUCAGAAUACUUAUGGUCAGCAGUCAUCCCUGAAGUUUUACAUUAAAAUCUUUACUUGUGUUGUAAACUUUGGUAAGAAGCAGAAACGUUAGCGUUGCCAUGGAUACAUGAGUGUUAAAUUCUGUCCAUGUUUCCAUUUUGGGAACUGCAGUCCAGCAGAUGAGUUUGUUUUUACUUACAGCUACCAUUCAGUCUGAGAUAUUAAGAAUAAAUAAAUGUGCAUAAUGUGGAAAUGAACAGAUUUUAUUUUUAUUUAUUCCUACAGCAAAUAUUAUCUGAAAGUCGGGUUAUUGUUGUUUAUCAGCACAAUACAAAAAGAUUUAUAUUAGAAAUAUUCCAGUUAAGGCUCUAGAAUGUCAUGAUUUAUGUAAAUUUACCUCAAUAAUAUGAAUGUUCAGGUUAAGAUUGUGCAGUGAUAUUUAUUCUGUAAGUUUAGCUGAUUGAAGUUUAUGAUGCUGCACUACAAUAUUAUUUAUUAUUUAAAUUUACAUCAUUAUUAUAAUAUUUAGGGCCAGACCCUACAGUAUUGAGAUUAAGAAAUCAAAUAAUCUAUAAAAUGUAAAUACACUGAACUCAUUUGGAUAUAUUUAAGUGAGACUCUACAAUAUUAUUUGACACAAAUCUAUCUAAAUCAGAAUUUUAAUCAUUUUUACUCCAAACAUUUACUGGACUGAUUUAAACAUUAAAAUCACUCCUUUCUAAUCCUCUGCUGUACGUUCAAACCUGAGGCCUUAAAUAGAAACACACAAGUAUCUGUUUGAAGGAACUUCUGCAGUCCUGGUUCCAGAACAUGAUGAUAGAAUUAUAGACAAACUUUAACAAAAGCUGCCUGAGAGUUUACAGGUUUUUAUGUUAGAUUUCUUCAGUAAUUUAAUGAGUUAUCAGCAAAAAUCAAGUGUUCAUUUGAUGAACUUCAUUUCUUAAAACAUCCAGAAUUGGAGCUCAUAUCUUUGGCAGCUGUAAAGUUUCUGCUCCUUCAAAGUUCACAACACAAUGAAUUAAUUCCUAAAACACUCUCAAUGCUGGAGAGCAUUUGAUGCUGAAGCAGUGACCAGUUUUUCUGUUUCUUCUCUGGAGAUGCACAAUGAGGGACGUCUGCAGUGACUGAGAAAGAGUCUCACCACAUCCUGACGUGAGGAAAAAGACUUUAUUGAAGACUACAAUGAGAAAAACUAUCAGACAGCAGACGGCUGCAUUCAAGAGAAGAAGACCAUCAAACAUCCACGUCAGCUGAUGGAGGUCCUAAGAGUCUCACUGAAGAACCAACCUACAGAGUGAAGACCUCAAAUCUGAUUGGACGGCCUCCUAUUCAGCCACGUGUGAACAAAUGCCUCUAAGUUGAUUUGUUUUCUAAAAUAAAUCUAGUUUGAGUCCUAAUCUAUGCCUGUGUUUGCUUCUUUACACCGCUGUUAACAGUUUAGGCUGUUAGAUUGUUCCAGAUAAGACAAGUACAAGAUUCUUCAGAGCCGUUCUACCACGAGCCUGACAGGAAGAACUCCAACAGCUACUGAAUGUUCCUGUGGUUCCCUCAAGGCUACAGGAGGAGCCCUACGAGGACGAGCCGGUCCACCUGAUGGUGGCCAGUCGCUGCAGUUCAAAGCCAACACCGACUACGUGGACUUCUACUGGACCACACGGAGGCCUUCAAACCGGACCAACAAGUUCACCGACUCCCCGACUUGUGGGUCUGAGGACGCCGCCGAGCCUCGGCCCAGCCGGCCACCUGUCUGUGGGUGUUUGAGUGCUGAGAGGUUUGUGGAUGCAUGUGAACGUGUCUGUGUUGAAACAGCAGCUUUGGAC
ensembl:lncRNA